CCUACGGGAGGCAGCAGUGAGGAAUAUUGGUCAAUGGCCGGAAGGCUGAACCAGCCAUGCCGCGUGAAGGUCAGUGCCCUAUGGGCGUUAAACUUCUUUUGUGCGGGAGCAAUAAUGGUCACGUGUGGCCAGACGAGAGUACCGUACGAAUAAGCAUCGGCUAACUCCGUGCCAGCAGCCGCGGUAAUACGGGGGAUGCAAGCGUUAUCCGGAUUUAUUGGGUUUAAAGGGUGCGUAGGCUGUGAGGUAAGUCAGCGGUGAAAUGCCCCCGCUCAACGGGGUGAAGUGCCAUUGAUACUGCCUGGCUGGAAUGAGGAUGCCGUGGGAGGAAUGUGUGGUGUAGCGGUGAAAUGCAUAGAUAUCACACAGAACACCGAUUGCGAAGGCAUCUCACGAAGCCGCGAUUGACGCUGAUGCACGAAAGCGUGGGUAUCAAACAGGAUUAGAUACCCCUGUAGUC
rnacentral:rRNA from 1 species